ensembl:lncRNA
GCUGUCUGCAACAUCCUGCAGACAUUAGGCGCAUGUUUUGCUGUCUUUGCAUGAAGGUGCAGCUGAUGGAGAGGAGCGAGACACUCAUAUGAAAAAGACUGACCCUAAUUUGGGCGUCAUUUAUUGCAUCAACUCACAGUUCAUUAUGCUGUAGAACAUGUUACAUUUAUUUCAAUAUUAACUCUGAAGCACUGUGGUUGGAAACAUGUUGCUCACAGUGUGAAACUUCAAUAAUUUUGUCACUUUUAUCAACAAAGUGCUGCAGAAACAUCAACAUCUGUCUGACUUUCUUUCUGACAGAUGAUGAAAUCUGAGAGGGAGAAGGAUGAAAUCAUUACGAAGCUGAGGCAGACGAUCCUUACACUGGAAUCAAAGCUCCAGGAGGAGAAACAGAGAAGGGAGAAAGCUGAGAAACAAGUUCAGAUGUUGCCAACAGAAACAGAGAUUUCUCACAUCAACAGUCCGUCCAAGCAGAAGAAAUAGACACUGAAGGAGCCUCAGAAAGAAGUCAAGGAACAGCCCAAGAAUCAGUGCUGUGCUUUCUGAUUUGAUUUUUAAAGAAUUAGUUUACAUUUAUGUUUACAUCAACAGCUGGUGUGACAAAGCAAAUUGCAAGGCACCCAUAUGUGUAUGCUUGUGUGCAGAACAGAGAGCAAUUUUAAAAUGUGUAACUUGAAUGCUGUUAUACCCCCAACUGGUCACAGCAGAUGUCCACCCCUCCCUGAGCCUGAUUCUGCUGGAGGUUUCUUCCUCUCAAAUCGGCAUUUUUCCUUCCCACUGUCACCAAGGAACUGGACUCACAUUGAGGUUUUUUGAUUGUUGGGGUUUUCUCUGUAUUAUUGUACGAUCUUUACAUGACAACAUAAUGAACUUUGACUUUGUGACUGUUGUUGUGAUUUGGUGCUAUAUAAAUAAAAUGUAAUUGAAAUGAAUUAUAUCUAAAUUUUUUCAUUAUGAUUGAAAUUUAUUUUAUUUUAUCUGUUGAGGACAUGUUUUAGUAAUAUCACUUUUGUGUCACUUAAUUGUAUACAUGUGGGAUAGCAUUCAGUUUACUUUAUACCACAAUCUGUUAGGCUUUGUGAGAAAAUUGGAG